rfam:Salmo salar isolate Sally breed double haploid chromosome ssa01, whole genome shotgun sequence.
CACACGCAUGACUGCAAGUCGCUUUGGAUAAAAGUGUCUGCUAAAUUGCAUAUC